UUUUGUGGUUGGGGCCCCGCGUAUUCCAGCUCCUACAGCGUAUAUAAACUGGUUUGCAGGUUAAAAAGCUCGUAGUUGAACCUUGGGUCUGGCUGGCCGGUCCGCCUCACCGCGAGUACUGGUCCGGCUGGACCUUUCCUUCUGGGGAAUCCCAUGGCCUUCACUGGCUGUGGGGGGAACCAGGACUUUUACUGUGAAAAAAUUAGAGUGUUCAAAGCAGGCCUUUGCUCGAAUACAUUAGCAUGGAAUAAUAGAAUAGGACGUGCGGUUCUAUUUUGUUGGUUUCUAGGACCGCCGUAAUGAUUAAUAGGGAUAGUCGGGGGCGUCAGUAUUCAGCUGUCAGAGGUGAAAUUCUUGGAUUUGCUGAAGACUAACUACUGCGAAAGCAUUCGCCAAGGAUGUUUUCAUUAAUCAGGGAACGAAAGUUAGGGGAUCGAAGACGAUCAGAUACCGUCGUAGUCUUAACCAUAAACUAUGCCGACUAGGGAUCGGGCGGUGUUUCUAUGAUGACCCGCUCGGCACCUUACGAGAAAUCAAAAGUUUUUUGGGGUUCUGGGGGGGAGUAUGGUCGCAAGGCUGAAAACUUAAAGAAAAUUGACGGAAGGGCACCACAAGGCGUGGAGCCUGCGGCUUAAUUUGACUCAACACGGGGGAAACUCACCAGUCCAGACAAAAUAAGGAUUGACAGAUUGAGAGCUCUUCUUGAUCUUUUGGAUGGUGGUGCAUGGCCGUUCUUAGUUGGUGGAGUGAUUUGUCUGCUUAAUUGCGAUACGAACGAGACCUCGGCCCUUAAAUAGCCCGGGUCCGCAUUUGCGGGCCGCUGGCUUCUUAGGGGACUAUCGGCUCAGCCGAUGAAGUGCGCGGCAAUAACAGCUGAGUGUUGUAUCCAGACCACAAAAGGAAAA
rnacentral:rRNA from 1 species